UGGGGAAUAUUGCACAAUGGGGGAAACCCUGAUGCAGCGACGCCGCGUGAGCGAAGAAGGCUUUCGAGUCGUAAAGCUCUGUCCUAUGAGAAGAUAAUGACGGUAUCAUAGGAGGAAGCCCUGGCUAAAUACGUGCCAGCAGCCGCGGUAAUACGUAUGGGGCGAGCGUUGUCCGGAAUUAUUGGGCGUAAAGGGUACGUAGGUGGUUUUUUAAGUCAGGUGUCAAAGCGUGGAGCUUAGCUCCAUUAAGCACUUGAAACUGAAAGACUUGAGUGAAGGAGAGGAAAGUGGAAUUCCUAGUGUAGCGGUGAAAUGCGUAGAUAUUAGGAGGAAUACCGGUGGCGAAGGCGACUUUCUGGACUUUUACUGACGCUCAGGUACGAAAGCGUGGGGAGCAAACAGG
rnacentral:rRNA from 1 species